rnacentral:tRNA from 1 species
GCUGGUGUAGCUCAAUAGGCAGAGCAGCCGCCUUGUAAGCGGCAGGUUGGGGGUUCAAGUCCCUUCGCCAGCUCCA